rnacentral:rRNA from 1 species
ACUACGGAGAGUUUGAUCCUGGCUCAGGACGAACGCUGGCGGCGUGCUUAACACAUGCAAGUCUACGAGAAUAAGGUAGCAAUAUCUUUAGUAAAGUGGCGCACGGGUGAGUAACACGUAAGUAAUCUACCCUUAGAUUUGGAAUAACCCCGAGAAAUCGGGGCUAAUACGGAAUGAUGCAGCGGCAUCGCAUGAUGAUGUUGUUAAAGUCUAUAUGGCGUCUAAGGAUGAGCUUGCGUCUGAUUAGCUAGUUGGUGAGGUAAAGGCUCACCAAGGCUGCGAUCAGUAGCUGGUCUGAGAGGAUGAUCAGCCACACUGGAACUGAGACACGGUCCAGACUCCUACGGGAGGCAGCAGUGAGGAAUAUUGGGCAAUGCCCGAAAGGGUGACCCAGCAACGCCGCGUGGAGGAUGAAAGCCGUAAGGUUGUAAACUCCUGUUAGAGGGGAAGAACAAUCCCGAUCGACUCGGGACAUGACUGUACCCUCAGAGAAAGCUCCGGCUAACUACGUGCCAGCAGCCGCGGUAAUACGUAGGGAGCAAGCGUUGUCCGGAUUUACUGGGUGUAAAGGGCGCGCAGGCGGGUUGGCAAGUCAGAGGUGAAAUCCUACAGCUUAACUGUAGAACUGCCUUUGAUACUGCAGACCUUGAGUACGGAAGAGAGAGGCGGAAUUCCAGGUGUAGUGGUGAAAUAC